GUCUACGGCCAUGCCACCCUGAACGUGCCCGAUCAUCUGAUCUUGGAAGCUAAGCAGGAUCGGGCCUGGUUAGUACUUAGAUGGGAGACCACCAAGGAAUACCAAGUGCUGUAGGUG
rnacentral:rRNA from 1 species